rnacentral:rRNA from 1 species
UACGUGGGGGGCGAGCGUUGUCCGGAAUUACUGGGCGUAAAGCGCACGUAGGUGGAUUGGUAAGUAAGGAGUGAAAUCCCAGGGCUUAACCCUGGAACUGCUCUUGAGACUGCCUGUCUGGAAUUCGGAAGAGGUUGGUGGAACUCCCAGUGUAGAGGUGAAAUUCGCAGAUAUUGGGAAGAACACCGGUGGCGAAGGCGACCAACUGGUCCGACAUUGACGCUGAGGCACGAAAGCGUGGGUAGCAAACAGG